UUAAUUGAAACCAAAAUGAGGUAUAUUAUUGUUAAUAAUAAAAUUGAAUAAAUUUCCAAUUAAA
rnacentral:tRNA from 1 species